rnacentral:pre_miRNA from 1 species
ACGUGACUUACCCAGGGGUCUUGUUAAAAGGCAGAUUCUGACUCAGAAGGUCUGGAAUGAGACAGAACCUCCAUUUCUAACAAGCUCCCAGGUGAUUCUGAC